rnacentral:rRNA from 1 species
GCACCUACGGGACGCAGCAGUAGGGAAUAUUGCUCAAUGGGGGAAACCCUGAGGCAGCAACGCCGCGUGGAGGAUGAAGGUUUUAGGAUUGUAAACUCCUUUUGUUAGAGAAGAUUAUGACGGUAUCUAACGAAUAAGCACCGGCUAACUCCGUGCCAGCAGCCGCGGUAAUACGGAGGGUGCAAGCGUUACUCGGAAUCACUGGGCGUAAAGAGUGCGUAGGCGGGGUAAUAAGUCAGAUGUGAAAUCCUGUAGCUUAACUACAGAAAUGCCUUUGAAAAUGUUACU